rnacentral:misc_RNA from 1 species
GAAAGAAUCUGUUUAAGUUAAAAAGAAGAAUUGAGAGCUGUUGAGAGAAUGUCUACUUAAACUUGUUAGAAAUCUUGAUAUAGUUUAAGAGGCGUUUAAGAGCAUUGCCACUGUCGAUGGCUUCUCUGGCCCUAUCCAAGGCUACGGAUACAUCUUCUGCCCCAUUGCAUCCUAACAAGUGAUCCACCAUUCCAGCAUUCAAUACAAUUCUAUCAUAUGCUGCUCCUUUUUCACCAUUAAGAGCUGCCAACCCCAACUCUAUGUUCUUUGAUACCGAUCUGUCAGUUCUUGGAGUAUCAGUGGGUUGAAAUCCAUAGUCUGCGGCAUUGACCUCCAGAUUGAAACUGUGACGUGAUACUCCAUCAACUUCAAAUGCUGAUUGCGUGCUCAGUGAUCGAAAACCAGAACAGUAGUUCACGGGAAGUCCUUUUGAAGCAUUGGCUGACCGCAACCUUGUCGUCAUU